UACGUAUGGUGCAAGCGUUAUCCGGAAUGACUGGGUGUAAAGGGAGCGUAGACGGUUGUACAAGUCUGAUGUGAAAGCCCACGGCUCAACUGUGGGAGUGCAUUGGAAACUGUAGAACUAGAGUAUCGGAGAGGCAAGUGGAAUUCCUAGUGUAGCGGUGAAAUGCGUAGAUAUUAGGAGGAACACCGGUGGCGAAGGCGGCUUGCUGGACGAAAACUGACGUUGAGGCUCGAAAGCGUGGGGAGCAAACAGG
rnacentral:rRNA from 1 species